ACACAUGCAAGUCGAACGAGAGAGAGGGAGCUUGCUUCCUCAAUCGAGUGGCGAACGGGUGAGUAACGCGUGAGGAACCUGCCUCAAAGAGGGGGACAACAGUUGGAAACGACUGCUAAUACCGCAUAAGCCCACGGGUCGGCAUCGACCAGAGGGAAAAGGAGCAAUCCGCUUUGAGAUGGCCUCGCGUCCGAUUAGCUAGUUGGUGAGGUAACGGCCCACCAAGGCGACGAUCGGUAGCCGGACUGAGAGGUUGAACGGCCACAUUGGGACUGAGACACGGCCCAGACUCCUACGGGAGGCAGCAGUGGGGGAUAUUGCACAAUGGGGGAAACCCUGAUGCAGCGACGCCGCGUGGAGGAAGAAGGUUUUCGGAUUGUAAACUCCUGUCGUUAGGGACGAUAAUGACGGUACCUAACAAGAAAGCACCGGCUAACUACGUGCCAGCAGCCGCGGUAAAACGUAGGGUGCAAGCGUUGUCCGGAAUUACUGGGUGUAAAGGGAGCGCAGGCGGACCGGCAAGUUGGAAGUGAAAACUAUGGGCUCAACCCAUAAAUUGCUUUCAAAACUGCUGGCCUUGAGUAGUGCAGAGGUAGGUGGAAUUCCCGGUGUAGCGGUGGAAUGCGUAGAUAUCGGGAGGAACACCAGUGGCGAAGGCGACCUACUGGGCACCAACUGACGCUGAGGCUCGAAAGCAUGGGUAGCAAACAGGAUUAGAUACCCUGGUAGUCCAUGCCGUAAACGAUGAUUACUAGGUGUUGGAGGAUUGACCCCUUCAGUGCCGCAGUUAACACAAUAAGUAAUCCACCUGGGG
rnacentral:rRNA from 1 species